rnacentral:rRNA from 1 species
AUUGAACGCUGGCGGAAUGCUUUACACAUGCAAGUCGAACGGCAGCACGGGGCAACCUGGUGGCGAGUGGCGAACGGGUGAGUAAUACAUCGGAACGUGCCCAAUCGUGGGGGAUAACGUAGCGAAAGUUACGCUAAUACCGCAUACGAUCUACGGAUGAAAGCGGGGGAUCGCAAGACCUCGCGCGAAUGGAGCGGCCGAUGUCAGAUUAGGUAGUUGGUGGGGUAAAGGCUCACCAAGCCGACGAUCUGUAGCUGGUCUGAGAGGACGACCAGCCACACUGGGACUGAGACACGGCCCAGACUCCUACGGGAGGCAGCAGUGGGGAAUGUUGGACAAUGGGCGCAAGCCUGAUCCAGCCAUUCCGCGUGCAGGAUGAAGGCCUUCGGGUUGUAAACUGCUUUUGUACGGAGCGAAAAGGCUCUCUCUAAUACAGGGGGCUCAUGACGGUACCGUAAGAAUAAGCACCGGCUAACUACGUGCCAGCAGCCGCCGUAAUAC